GGCGAAAUAGCCAAGUGGUAAGGCGUGGGUCUGCAACACCCUGAUCACCGGUUCGAAUCCGGUUUUCGCCU
rnacentral:tRNA from 2 species